rnacentral:lncRNA from 1 species
AGAUAGGAAUUUACAUAAUAACAAUCAUAGACAUAGACGUGACUUUCAUGCUGAAAAUCAAUACCGUGCUCAAGUACCUCAUGAGAACACCAUACGAGCUGGGAAUGUACAUGACCAGUAUCGACGGGAAAGAGACGUGUCUGUUCAACCUACAAAUGAAAUUCGAGAACAGAUACCGCUUGAAAACAGCAUCAAUUCUGAAAAUAUGACAGAAGAAUGUACAAUUUGUCGGCAUAAUAUCUGUAAUCGAGUUUUUCUCCCGUGCUGUCAUACGUUCUGUCAAAAUUGUGAGAAAUCUUUGUUUAGAGCGACUGAAGCACAGGAACGAACUUGUCCGUUAUGUAGACAACUUGUUUUAGAGGUCGAUUAUAUAUUUUUACCUCCAAGGAACCGUUAAAC